UUAGCUGUCCGUAGAUGUGUGGUUUUAUUUCUUGGCUUUUAAUUUUGUUCCAUGGCUCUGUGUGUUUGUUUUUGUGGUUCCCUGGUAUUUUUAAAGGUUCUUCACACUAUUUGAGUUGAUGGAGAGAACUGACUCAGAUCAUGAGAAUCUUUGGAAUAACUUUCAUCUUUUCUGAAUUUUUUUUUUAAACAAGUAAGAAUCCCCUUCACCCUCAAGUGUUUCAUGCCUUAGAGAUCAAAGUUGUAGACUCUAUUAUAGUACAUUAGUAAGAGCGGCGUUAGUAAUUGUUAACAGUAUUAAUCAGCGGCAGUAGGAACAAUGUAACGAUAAUGAGUAGGUAACAUUUAAAUGGUGCUUAUUAUGUACCAGUCUCUGUUCUAAAUGAUUUGUGUAAACUAACUCGUUUAAUUCCCACCAUAACCCGAUGAGGUAGGUACUAUUAUGAUUGGCAUUUGACAGAGGAGAUAACUGAGGUGUGGAGAGGCUAAGAAACUUCCCCAAGUUCACAGAGCUGGAAAGUAGUGGAGCUGUGAGGUCCCCAGGUCCAUGCUCUGUACCACUAGGACCUGGCAGUCUGGGUGUGAUGAGGCGGUGUCAGAAAGCUCAUAGAGCACCCGUAGUGGCGUUGACGUAGGGUAUGAUUUCUGUGUUGCUGCGUAAUAGAUUAUCCCGCACUUAGUGGCUUCAGACAACAGUAGGUAUCAUCUCUCGGUUUCUGUGGGCCAGGAGUCUGGGUGCAGCUUAGCUGGGUCCUUUGGCUCAGGGUCUCUCGCAGGCUGCGCGGUCCGGGGCUUAGCUGGGGCGCUGCUAUCAGCCAGGGUGCCACUCGGGCAGGAUCCACUUCCAGAUAAAAUCAGUGUUGUUGGCAGGAUUCAGUUCCUUGCGGGUUGUUGGACUGGGAGCCUUAGUUCUUUACUCGCUGUUGGCCAGAGGCCACCCUCACUCAUUGCCGCAGGGGCCUCUCCAUGGGACAGCGCCCGUGUCAGCUGGCUUCAUCAAAGUGAGCAAGCGAGAGUGUGAGCGAGGUGGAAGGCACAGUCCUCUGUCCCCUGAUCUCAGAACUGACCCUUAUCAAUCUGCCUUACUCUGUUAUUAGAAGCCAGUCACUGGAUGGCAGCCCCAACUCACUGGGAGUGGCCCACGGAAGGGUGUGAGUACCAGGAGGUGGGAUGACUGGGAGGCAUUGUAGAGGCUGCCUCCCCGGGGGGAGGUAGAAACAGCUCUGUGAGCUGCUGUUCUGAUGAUCCAGUUCCACGCAGCAUGAACAUGCUUUGAAAUCAACACAUUUUAAGAGAUUUUUAUGUCCCUGAUGCCAGUAGGUAAUUUCAGGUUCUAAGGACUUUCGAGCAGGAGGGGAACUUUUUCUGCCAUGCAGCUGCUGCUUUUCCCACGGGUCCACACCUGGCCCGACCUGUGGCUUCUAAACCGUAUCUGAUGGCAAGAGCAUCCGUGGCCUGGAAGUAGCAGCGUGAAUCCUUUCCAGGGCUGUGGCCUCUGCUGAAGUCAUUUGAGGGCUGAAUCAUCAUCAGAUAGCCAGCCCAAUAUCAGCCGUCCUAAACCCUUUCAAACACAUGUGAGCUCGUGGACACUACUCGUCAGCAUCUUCUUGCGAAGGUCUGUGGGUGAAUCUCCGUUUUUGGAGAAGGUCGGCAAGGUUGGAGAAGCCAGGUUCUCUGGGCUUGUGUGCCUGUCUUUCUGAGGAAAGGUGUGUCGCCUGUUUGGUUUUGGUUGUGUAUGAGCUGUUCCACUGCCCUCCCCCUGCCCCCCCGAUGUGGAAUGAUGGGGUCGAAUUGUUGGUGUAGACCAUACCCUUGUGACUGUUUGACUAAAAGAAGCCUUUGUACAGGUGCCAGAAUCAAACCACAGUGGAAAAAGAUGAGGUCCCCAAACAAUGCAACACAACCAGCAGAUCUUUGUGAAUUUACAGCGUAAUCUUGCCAUAAUAUGGGAACGGAGUAACCUUGUGAUGAACUGGGAGAGAGGAAAUGACUCAUGGGAGGAGACGGUGGGUCCAGUAUUUAUAUUGGACGAGACGGCUAAGCUCUCUUGAACCCCUCUGGAGUGGAGGAAGCUGGGGAGGGCCACUACUUUCUACAGCUAUGUUGUUAAGCACCAUUUGGUUGAAGCGGAAAGGGAAAAAACUCGGGUGCUUUCAUGUUCAGACCCCACGGCUCUUUGGCCUGAGUCAUGAGCCAGCAUAGGCACGAUCUGUCCAAGAUGAAGCGUGUGGUCCUAAUGCUUUUAAAAUGCAGGUGCCUCUUCGUGGCGGGGGAUGCUUUUAUGAGUAAGCAUGUCAUUCCGAAAGAUCGUCAGUGACUGGAGGGCAUUCGAGAGUUAUUUGAAGUGGGCAAGUUAUAUCACUAAUUUGGCUUUGGGUAUUUAUUUCGUAUUCAAUGAGGAGUUCACAGGCACGCACUCCAGGCUUCUCGGGGUCUCAAAAUUUAGGCGUGAGCUAGUGAUGGCCGUGCUUGGUUCGCUCGCUUGUCUCUACUGCCUCCAGGCUCACCAUGAUGGGAUCCAUUGAGGAAAGAGUCAUGGGAGAGCCAGCCCUGAUGGCCUAGUGGUUAAGGUUUGGCGUUGUCACUGCU